rnacentral:lncRNA from 1 species
GUGUGUGUGCACAACUGGGAGCCUGUGCUCGGGUGUCCACGUGUGCACCUGUGUGUGCAUCUGUACAUGGAUGUCCAUGUGUGCACCUGUGUGUGUGCAUCUAUGCACGGGCGUCCACAUGAGCACCUGUGUGUGUGCAUCUAUGCACGGGCGUCCACAUGUGCACCUGUGCAUGGAUGUCCACGUGUGCACCUGUGUGUGCACCUGUGCAUGGGUGUCCAUGUGAGCACCUGCGUGUGUGGGCAUCCAUGUGUGCACCUGUGUGUGUGCACCUGUGCUAUGGGCGCCCAUUCGUGUGCGCACAGGCACCUGCACUCGUGCAUCUGAGCGUGUAGGUGGGUGUACACCUGUGCAUGUAGGCACCUGUGCACUGCAUGCCUGCGUGUGUGUGCAAGUGUGCACAUCUGUGCGCGUGUUGGGGGUGGGGAGCGCCUGCUGCCUGUGGAGCUAACGGGGUGCAGGCUGGGGGCACUGUACCCGCCCGGCAGCUCUUCCGACCUUCACCAGCCAAUGCAGCCACUUCCUCUGGCCCCCACACCGCAGCGCGUUCACUCCUCAGCCACGCACAGCCACAGCACCAAGGCACGGAGUUCCAGAGCCUGGUCACCUGGCUGCGCGUCCCCAGCUGCGAGACUUCGGGCAAGAGUGACCUGGCUCCCUAGGCCUCAGUUUGCCCGUCUGUUAAAGGGGGAUGGCGAGAGUACCACCCUCACAGGGGGGUCCCGAGACCGGCACUGCUGUCACGCACUCACACACACCACGGGCCGAGGAAGCCGGCUCCAGGCCAGGGCUGGAAAGCGGGGGCGGGUGCUCCCCCAGGGGUCCCUGCUCCCCAAGGCUGAGCCUUGUGCUGCCCAGUGGCUGUGCCCCCAGCAGCUGUCCCCGGGACUGAAUGGGACCGCGCUGGGAGGCGCGGCCAGGGAGUGCAGGUGCCCACGAGGGUGCGGUCGGGAGGAAACCGCGGCACCACUCAGGGAACCAGGACCCGCGCCAGGACUCAGGGAACCAGGACCCGCGCAGGGGCUCAGGGAACCAGGACCCGCGCCAGGACUCAGGGAACCAGGACCCGCACCAGGACUCAGGGAACCAGGGCCCGCGCCAGGACUCAGGGAACCAGGACCCGCACCAGGACUCAGGGAACCAGGGCCCGCGCCAGGGCUGGGGCCGCAGAACUCACGCCUGCGACUCGUUUAUUCCAAGCAUCCUGCUGGACAGGGGCAGCCGCCGCGCGGGUGACGGCGGCGAGGCCAGGCCCAGGCCUCUCACUUGGGUCACGCUCCGGGGGGUUCCGCCUCUCUGGGGGGAACACGCCAGGGGGCGAGGGGAGCCUUUAUCUCCCGCUGGCCACAGCCCCCGCGCGUGGUGUCAGCUUUGCUGCAGCUGGAAGGGUCCACACAAAAGGGACAGGCUUGUGCCAGCAGAGUGACAGCCGAGGGCUGACCGGUUGACAGCCGGGGCUGCGCCUUCCCCCUUCCGCUCACAGCCACACACCGCUGCCGCCCUUCCC